rnacentral:rRNA from 1 species
AUGGCGGUGGAGACGCGGAUCCGCAUCUUCCCCGGCACCGCCAUCCGGUUCAACGUGCUGGCCCUGGGCGAGGAGCGCGCCGGCGGCCUCUCGUCCGUGCACCUCCGCUGCACCGUCACCCUCGAGCACGCCACCCGCCGGCUCCGCGGCAGCGGCGUCGUCCUCCCCGACCGCGUCAAGCCGGAGUUCCUCCAGCAGCCAUCCAUGUCCGACGAGGUGCGCGACCUCCGCGACCCCUCCGUCCUCCUCCGCCCCGACGACGUCCUCCGCGCCGUGCUCGACAUGCUCGCCUCCGCGCCCGUGCUGCGCGGCCUCGACCUCUCCGAUGAGUCCGCCUGGGACGGCGAGCACGCGCCGCGGCGCAUCGCCGCGUGGCUGCGCGAGCAGGGCUCCCGCUGGCUCGCCUCCUGCCCGGAGCGCCGCUGCCGGUUCGAGGUGGACGCGCGGCUCCGGGUGACGUGGGUGUUCAAUGAGCCCCAGGCCGUGCUCCGGCGGUGCGCCGAGGUGGCGAUGCAGACGGUGGAGCCCGGGUCGGAGGAGGAGUGCCGGAUCUGCCUCGACGAGUUCCGCGACGGCGGCAAGUCCGGGCCGGUGAACCUGCCCUGCUCGCACGCCUACCACGCGCACUGCAUGCUCACCUGGCUCGACCGCGGCGCCAUCUGCCCCACCUGCCGCCACGACCUCGCCGGCAUGGUUGCCCCCGCGCCAUGGGUCGCGCCGACGACAUGGGCCAGCUCGAGUACUGCUACGGCCAGGCGGCCCGGGUUGCGGGCGCGGGGACGCCGGUGA